ensembl:lncRNA
GUUGCUCAGUGACAACAUGAGUAAAGUCAUGAACAGAUUUAUUCUCAUUGCCACUAUUCAUUCUUUAUUGUGGCUGGAAGUCUUUUCUGACAGUAAAGAUGUUUCUCAAAUGCCGCCUGAUCUGCUCAGAAAGCCUGGAGAAUUUGCAGUGCUUCAGUGUUCACACAGCAUUUCAAGCUAUAAUUACAUUCUAUGGUACAAACAAACCAGAGACAGAGAACUUCAGUACAUGGGACGUCUUGCUGUAACAAACUCUCAGCCAGAGCCUGAGUUUAGCAAGAACAUUUUUUUAUCAGGCACUGGAGAUAAAAACGGCACACUGACUAUAAAUGAUCUGAAAUCUAAUGACAGCGCAGUGUAUUACUGUGCAGCAUUUGCACAGUGAUUCAUUCCUCCUCUCUCCUCUACAUAAACCCUCCUCUUUUAAACUGUUAUAUUUAACCACAUAAAGCACCUGUGUUCAUUCAUUCUUCAAAGCCCAAACAUAAUGCAAAAAAAAAGCCAAUGGCAAUGUUUAUGCAUUAACAUGAUCAUUUACAUAACAUAUACAUAGAUGCUAUAUCCUUCUCUAAGAAAGACUUCAGCUAUGAUAGCUACACAUAAGCCACAAGUAAAUAUGUGAUCAAACUUUAUUUGUACAGCUUCCAUUAUUUUCAUGAGACUUGCUUUUUUUCUUUAUUUUUUUUUUUUCGAACAAACCUCCAGGGAUAUUUUUCUACACCUCCCAAGUUCAGUCUUGUAUUUCUAAUUCUCAUGACUCAAAUCAUCUCAAACACAUUCAUGUUGAGGUCUGGACUCUGGGGUGGUCAGUAAGGGUUUGUUGAGAGCUACACAUCCUUUCAGACCCAUAGAGUUGAGCUAUCUAAGUCUUGUAUAUCAGGGCACCAAUUUUCUUUAUAUGUUUUAAUCUUUUUUUGAAAUCCAGUUUGGGAAACACCUGGUUUGACACUAUUUCCCUUUGACUUUGUCCUUCCUCAUGCCAGUGGAUAAUCUUAUAUCUAAUCUCCUCAAAAAUAUUUCCUUAGAAAAAUAAUAAUUUAUACUCGAUGGCUGUUUUGACUACAGAUGAAAUGCAUUACAGAUGGCUG